CGGCUCCGUGCCCCCCCCGCCCCGCUCCGUCCCUCACGCACCGCUUCCUCCUCCGGCGCUGUCAACAGCUCCGCGCUUUACGGCGCCGCUGUCGCAAAAACGCCGCGCCCCGCUCUGCUUUACGGCGCGGCGGGGACUGCAACUCCCAGCGCCCCCCGCGCGGCGCAGGCGCAGAGCGCGCGGUGCGAAAAAGGCGGGAAGGCGUCGGGCGGGCGGGGGCUGAGGUGAAGGCAAAAUGGCGGCGGGGCCGUGAGGGGACGGAGCGCGGGAUCGCCGCCAUUGCGCCUCGCAACCGCGGGCUGCGGGCGCUGCCACGGGGCCCGGGGGUGGGGUGUGCGCCAAAAUGGGCAAAAGGAGGAGCGGCCGAGCGCCAGGUGAUGGUGACGGUGACGGCCGCGCUGCCAAAACCCGGCCCAGCCCCGGGGACAGCGCGGGGACAACGGGAGCAGAACUGGGGGACGGAACCGGUGCGGAACCGAGGGGUGGAACCGAAGCGGAACUGGAGGACAGAACCGGAGCAGAACCGAGGGAUGGAACCAGAGCAGAAACAAGGGACGGAAUCGGAGCAGAACCAGGGGAUGGAACCGGAGCGGAACCAGGGGAUGGAACCAGAGCAGAAGCAGGGGAUGGAACCGGAGUGGAACCGAGGGAUGGAACCGGAGCGGAACCGAGGGAUGGAACCGGAGUGGAACCAGGGGAUGGAACCGGAGUGAAACCGAGGGAUGGAACCGGAGCGGAACCGGGGCACAGCACCCAAGGGCUGGAUGCAGCGAGUGGAGGAGGUGCAGAGACAAGCCACUUCCAGGACGAAGCAGCGGCAGCCGCCCCCCCGGAGCACGGCACCGCAGAGGGGCACAGCCCCAUGGCACCGCCAGCCCCGUCCCCACGGGAGGGGACGGACGGCAGCGAGCAGCGCCCGGCCCAGCUCAGCCCCACGGCGGGGAACCCGGGGGGCACCCUGCCCCACGGAGCCCCCUCCCCCCACCGCCUGGAAGAACCGGGCCAGGAGGAAGCGGGGCGCGGGGGGGAGCUUGGGGCUGUGGGGCUGGAAGCUGACACCCAGGGGCUGCCCCCCAGCCCGGGCACCGUGGGGACACGGGUGUCACCGGAGCACGAUGCCGCGCCGCAGGGCAACGCCGAGCCGACGCAGGUAACACCCGGAACAUCGCAACAACGCGGCCCAGAAACCCGGCCCCACAUGGCCCCGAUUCACCCCACAUGGCCCCGAUUCACCCCACACGGCCCCGAUUCACCCCACACGGCCCCGAUUCACCCCAAAUCCCCCCUCCCUCCAGGACCCCGCAUCCCCGCAGCCCACGGCUCCAACCCCAGCGCUGCCCAACCCCGAGGAGCCGCACGGCGCCGCUGA
rnacentral:lncRNA from 1 species